GGGCAAGUAUCUUUGUCGCAUAAGGUUCUUCAAUUAAAACCGAGGAGGAGGUUGUCCCUCAAUCAUCUCAUUUCCAAACCGUUUAACAUACUCCCACCAUGUAUUAGCAUACCCUUCGAAGUAAGCUAUAGCAUAACAACUUUUUUUUCUUCGGUGAGAUCAUUAAAUUGGAAGAUCUUGUCACAAGAUGACUCCCAUGCAAAGUAGGCUUCGGGAUCACUCUCACCUUUGAAAAUGGGAAGGGUCACUUUGAUGGAAUUGAGACCUACAUCUCGGUUUGGGUGGCUAUCUCUCACCUCUUGGCCUAACUCCCCAUGUCUACGCCUCAUUCUUUUUUUCCUCAAGUAAACAUCAUCAUACGACCCAUAACCAUCAUGUUGCCCUCGCCUACCAUAGCCCUCAACAUGGAUGGGUCUAUUUGGGUUAAGUGGAGCUUGUAGUGGCGGGAUUGGAUUUGGAUAGUGAGGUCUUUGGUCAAGUGGAGUUUAGAUGGGAGGGUUCGGGUUUGGUGAUGGUAUUUGGGUUCCAAGCCCUUCUUGUUGGACUUGGUGGAGUGGAGGAUGACUUGGUCUAUCUUGUUCUCGGCUUCGGGAGUAAAGAUUGGUUUGAUUUAUGACAAUUGAUGUAUAUUGAAUUUGGUGCAAGGUCUCGGGAGCAUUAGUUGGGGAAAUGUUUUGAGGGGUAGAAGGUCAACUUCUUUGGCUUUCCACACGUUCUAAUCUCCCACUCAUUGAUGCCACAUCCGUAUCUAAUUUCUCAAGACCCACAUUCAACCUAGCCACAUCUCGGGACAUAGUUUCAAGCCGAGCCAAAAUGAGAUUGAUGGCAUUAUUAUCCAUUAUUUGAGCAUUUGAAGCCUCGGGUUCCACUGUGGUGGUAUCGAAAAUAACCCUUCAAGUUACGAUCCAAUCAAGAUAUCAAAUCAGUCCGCAACGUCACACACAACAAUACAAUCCAAAACCUACAACACAAAACACACGUUAUUUCAAAACAACCUCCCACAAUGAG
rnacentral:lncRNA from 1 species